rnacentral:tRNA from 3 species
GCGCUCGUAGCUCAGCUGGAUAGAGCAACGGCCUUCUAAGCCGUAGGUCAUAGGUUCGAGUCCUAUCGGGCGCGCCA